rnacentral:rRNA from 1 species
CCUACGGGAGGCAGCAGUAGGGAAUUUUCGUCAAUGGGCGCAAGCCUGAACGAGCGAUGCCGCGUGAGUGAAGAAGGCCUUCGGGUCGUAAAGCUCUGUUGCGGGGGAAAAAAGGCAGCAUCAGUAAAUGGGUGCUGACUGAUGGUGCCCCGCCAGAAAGUCACGGCUAACUACGUGCCAGCAGCCGCGGUAAUACGUAGGUGGCGAGCGUUAUCCGGAAGGAUUGGGCGUAAAGGGUGCGCAGGCGGUCCUGCAAGUCUGGAGUGAAACGCAUGAGCUCAACUCAUGCAUGGCUUUGGAAACUGGAGGACUGGAGAGCAGGAGAGGGCGGUGGAACUCCAUGUGUAGCGGUAAAAUGCGUAGAUAUAUGGAAGAACACCAGUGGCGAAGGCGGCCGCCUGGCCUGUUGCUGACGCUGAGGCACGAAAGCGUGGGGAGCAAAUAGGAUUAGAUAUCCCAGUAGUC